rnacentral:rRNA from 1 species
UGCAGUCGAACGGGAUUGAGAAGCUUGCUUUUCAUGAGAGUGGCGCACGGGUGCGUAACACGUAUGUAACCUACCUUAAUCUGGGGGAUAGCCUCUCGAAAGAGAGAUUAACACCGCAUAACAUUAUCGGAUAGCAUUUUCUGAUAAUCAAAUAUUUAUAGGAUUAAGAUGGGCAUGCGGAACAUUAGCUAGUUGGUAAGGUAAUGGCUUACCAAGGCUACGAUGUUUAGGGGAUCUGAGAGGAUGACCCCCCACACUGGUACUGAGACACGGACCAGACUCCUACGGGAGGCAGCAGUAAGGAAUAUUGGUCAAUGGGCGCAAGCCUGAACCAGCCAUGCCGCGUGCAGGAAGACGGCCCUACGGGUUGUAAACUGCUUUUGUACCGGAAUAAACCUUUUCACGUGUGAGAAGCUGAAUGUACGGUAAGAAUAAGGAUCGGCUAACUCCGUGCCAGCAGCCGCGGUAAUACGGAGGAUCCAAGCGUUAUCCGGAUUUAUUGGGUUUAAAGGGUGCGUAGGCGGUUCUUUAAGUCAGGGGUGAAAGACGGUAGCUUAACUAUCGCAGUGCCUUUGAUACUGAAGAACUUGAAUACACUUGAGGUAGGCGGAAUGUGACAAGUAGCGGUGAAAUGCA